GCUUUCAUAGUUCAAUGGCAGAAUGGUUGCUUGGUAUGCAAUUGAUCCGGGUUCAAUUCCUGGUGAAAGCU
rnacentral:tRNA from 1 species